UGGACACACAGCUUUAAUAAGGGCGAGAGAAGUCUGGACUCUUCGAUUGGAUCCAGAGAGCUCUCUUCCCCACCGCCUGAUUUGCCUCGAUCGCCUGCCCAGGGAAGUCCUCCUGCCCUCCUCCUCUCGCCGGCGCCGCUGAAGUGAACCAGGCCGCCACCGGAGCUCCAGAGUGUCCAGCCCUCUAUCCCCUCCCAUCUCUCCCUUCCCCUCUCCAUCGUCGACAAUCCCCAUCCAUGGACGCCUCAACGCCUCUCUAUCCUCAUACGUGACCACCACUUCAGAAGGGGGCAUAGCCGAGGGGUGAUCUGCGCUCCUCUCCAAUGACUCCGCCGCAGCCGAAUCCGGUUUUAUGUCCAGCAAGAAGCAGUCGAACAGCGGCGCGUCGACCAUCCCGUCGGGUGUGUGGCUAGAGGGCAUAUCCAACUGGUGUCCUUGAGGUGCAACGCGGGUAGAAGGUGGGGCUCGGCAAAACCACACAUCUCCACACCAUCGCCGGCAUCGAGGAGCUCGACAGCAGCAACUUCGUAAAGGCCAACGAUAGCCUGAAGUUUGCCUUCCUCAGCCAUAAAUUCGAGGUCUGCGCCUCCCGGACAAUAGGGUGGAGUUUCUCAGCUUCUUGCAGGAGGAGAUGCCCGUGAAGGACUGCCUCAACCUGCUGCAGGGCCCUCUAGCGCGCCACCGAGGAUAUGGGCCUCAUGGGGUCAUGGGGUUUGCAGCUCGCCAUCAUCGACGAGAGAGACUAGCUCAGACUAUUGGUGCUCUGUGUUGUUGAGUUCUAUGCGAGGUGACCACCCAAUUGUGGAUGACACCUGAAGUGUUAGUAAAGUUUGACUGCCAUGCAAGAGAAUGCUCCGCGAUUGGAAGAGCCAGACUGAGGUAUCUUUUUCCUGGCUAGAUAAAGGUUUGGCUCUGCAUUUUAAGAAGGUGAUUCAGUAAAACCGUUUGCCUUGAAUUCAUAAGGUGAGAUGACUAAAAAUGUUCAUCUUUUACACUGUCCAUACUAUUCUAACACUGUUCAGAGGGCUAUCCAUUGACAGGCCCAAUUUUGAAGUGAACUUCACACAAAUGAGAGAAGCAUCAAUACGACCAACUGUACUGCCUCUAAUCUCUUUUCCAUGCAGUAAACUUCACAUGAACCAAUGUCAUUUGAUCAUGCAAAUGAGACCAUCUUACACGCUGAAUCAGCUCGAUCAAGUGUCUAAGCGUCAUCACUUUCUGAUAAGUCACCCAAACAUUCCAAGUAUAGUUAUCAUAGACAGACUGAUUGGGAGCUUAAGACCACGGCUUCACUUUUUAGAGUAAGCCUGUUGGCCAAGCAAUUUUUAAUCUUCUGUAGUGCCUUUAUUUCCUGAAUUGCACGGGAGUCAUGUCACAGUUACGGUUUCUUUUCUCAUUUGUGUAAUUAUAUGCCUGGCAGUAGUGAACGCUUCGUAAAUGUAAGAAUAAGCCCUCCUUAUGUAGCAACCAGUGAAAAGAUUGUACUGCACAGGUUGUUCAUGGAAAAAAAAAUGAAGGUCUACUUAAUUUAGUGAUUCGGUUUUGGUUCUAGAUUAGUGUACUUUAAAUUUCAGAUUUCCUAAUUUAACAGGCUUAGCUAUGAAAACCCAGCAAUACUAUCCCGUUUCAGGUUUUCAGUUUGUCAAUACCUUUCUUUUAUUUAGCGUUUACUAAUCUGUUCAACUUUUACAUGGAAUAUAAUUAUGCAAUCCAUAACUACAGUUCUGAUUUUCCCAGUAGAAGUGUUUCAACAUCUCCACUCCCGUGGCUAAAUUGGUCAAGAUUUUCAAUACUAGGUGAGUGCAGAUAGUACAGCGGGAACUAACGGUACCAUGGGCAGAGAGUUUUGUUGCUAAGGUACACAUGUUGAUUUCAGCUGCGUGCAACAUGUGUCCUGAAACGUCUAGAAGAGAUUGUUGAGUGAUUUUCUCUGCCAAUAAUGUUCAUUUAUAAUGUUUGGAAAACAUGGUAUUUUAUAUCGCUUCUAUGAAAAACUCCACCCCACAUUGUGCCAUUGUUCUAUUUGUCACACUCAUCACACAUGGUGUUCUAUUUUUAGCUUCAUGCAAAGGUGAUCAGGACGCACUAUACCAUAUUCUCGGAUUCAUGGAUAUAAGAAAGGCCGGUGAGAGAAAAUGCCGUGUAAAAAACAUAUGUGAUGGAUAUAUAAAACAAGAAGAGGCUAAUUAUUUGAAAUAGCGGGCCGUGGCAUCGUCAGUAAACCUGAGAUUUUUUUACUCCAAGAAGCAUUGAAUCUUACUUCUAUCCCAGGGGAACAGAAUGGAAGGAUGUGUGCCAGCUAAUUGUAUAGACCAAUUCAAGCCACAGCUAAAAAGAGAUUUAGCUUUCUACUAGAAGCACCAUUUUUCCGUUGGAGUUCCUCGCAUCAAUAGGCUUAUGGUAGCUGAUGCUGAAGUUCACAUACUGCUGGUCAUCCUCACUGAGCUCUCUUAAAUUCAUAUAUCUUAGAGUUUGGUGUUUGCUGAAACAUAUACAGUGCUUGGUGAGGUGUAGGUGUGUUAGUUUGCAUGUGCGAUUUUCUUUUUUCCCCCUUGCACAUUCUACAUGUGUACCAAGCCAUAAAAUUUGAAAUGGUUGGUGCUGAUGUGCAAGCACUAUCCGUGGUUUUCGCUGCAGUAUGUUGUAACUAACGUACUGUCUUUGUAAAUGCUGCCGAAGUGUUUGAAAUUCAGUAUUCCAGUUAGCCACGGCA